UACGAAGGGGGCUAGCGUUGUUCGGAAUUACUGGGCGUAAAGGGCGCGUAGGCGGUGCCUCAAGUCAGGCGUGAAAGCCCCGGGCUCAACCUGGGAACUGCCUUCGAUACUGCGGGUCUCGAGUCCGGGAGAGGUGAGUGGAAUUCCUAGUGUAGAGGUGAAAUUCGUAGAUAUUAGGAAGAACACCAGUGGCGAAGGCGGCUCACUGGCCCGGUACUGACGCUGAGGUGCGAAAGCGUGGGGAGCAAACAGG
rnacentral:rRNA from 1 species